UACGUAGGGUGCGAGCGUUGUCCGGAAUUACUGGGCGUAAAGAGCUCGUAGGUGGUUUGUCGCGUUGUUCGUGAAAUCUCACGGCUUAACUGGGGGCGUGCGGGCGAUACGGGCAGACUGGAGUACUGCAGGGGAGACUGGAAUUCCUGGUGUAGCGGUGGAAUGCGCAGAUAUCAGGAGGAACACCGGUGGCGAAGGCGGGUCUCUGGGCAGUAACUGACGCUGAGGAGCGAAAGCGUGGGGAGCGAACAGG
rnacentral:rRNA from 1 species